rnacentral:rRNA from 1 species
CGUAGGGGCAAGCGUUAUCCGGAUUUACUGGGUGUAAAGGGAGCGUAGACGGCUGUGCAAGUCUGAAGUGAAAGCCCAGGGCUCAACCCUGGGACUGCUUUGGAAACUGUGGAGCUAGAGUGCUGGAGAGGUAAGUGGAAUUCCUAGUGUAGCGGUGAAAUGCGUAGAUAUUAGGAGGAACACCAGUGGCGAAGGCGGCUUACUGGACAGUAACUGACGUUGAGGCUCGAAAGCGUGGGGAGCAAACAGGAUU